AAACAGGAAUAGGGGAGCUUUUGCUGAGAUUUAACCCUUAAGCUGAUCCAGAUAAUGCUGGCGUAGUGAAUUCCAAAUACACUUAA
rnacentral:ncRNA from 2 species